rnacentral:tRNA from 2 species
GUCCCCAUCGUCUAGCCAGGACUAGGACACCGCCCUUUCACGGCGGCAACACGGGUUCGAAUCCCGUUGGGGGCGCCA